rnacentral:rRNA from 1 species
GAGUUUACGCUCUAUAACCCUUUGUGAACAUACCUAUAACUGUUGCUUCGGCGGGUAGGGUCUCCGUGACCCUCCCGGCCUCCCGCCCCCGGGCGGGUCGGCGCCCGCCGGAGGAUAACCAAACUCUGAUUUAACGACGUUUCUUCUGAGUGGUACAAGCAAAUAAUCAAAACUUUUAACAACGGAUCUCUUGGUUCUGGCAUCGAUGAAGAACGCAGCGAAAUGCGAUAAGUAAUGUGAAUUGCAGAAUUCAGUGAAUCAUCGAAUCUUUGAACGCACAUUGCGCCCGCCAGCAUUCUGGCGGGCAUGCCUGUUCGAGCGUCAUUUCAACCCUCAAGCUCUGCUUGGUGUUGGGGCCCUACAGCUGAUGUAGGCCCUCAAAGGUAGUGGCGGACCCUCCCGGAGCCUCCUUUGCGUAGUAACUUUACGUCUCGCACUGGGAUCCGGAGGGACUCUUGCCGUAAAACCCCCAAUUUUCCAAAGGUUGACCUCGGAUCAGGUAGGAAUACCCGCUGAACUUAAGCAUAUCAAUAAGCGGAGGAAAAGAAA